CGACUCUCGGCAACGGAUAUCUCGGCUCACGCAUCGAUGAAGAACGUAGCAAAAUGCGAUACUUGGUGUGAAUUGCAGAAUCCCGUGAACCGUCGAGUUUUUGAACGCAAGUUGCGCCCGAAGCCAUCUGGUUGAGGGCACGUCUGCCUGGGCGUCACG
rnacentral:rRNA from 1 species